CAAUGGAUCCAUGCUGCAGUGUCUUCUAGUCCACAUAAGUUAUGGGCCGGGUCCGCUCUGAUACCAUUUGUAACAACCUAGGACCUCACCCAAAAUAGCUUGCCGGAAGUUAUUGUUUGGGUUCCUUGAUCUUGUAUAAGUACCCAAGAUCUAUCCAACGAAUAACCGAUGUGGGACUAAACACACGCCCGCACGGGUCCUCACAUGGAUUAAGACAUAAUAAUGAAUGUACCAACAAGCUAGUAAUUUUAGAAAAAAAAAUCUAGACUUGACAUGGGUAUGUUGAGGUUUAAAUCAGAAUGUGCAGAGAAAGUGUGGUGAAUAGAACUAUUUGAAAUUGGUCAGACAAGACGACUUUGAUUUGAAGAGUGUUAUAAUUUAGUUUGGAAGAAGUAUCUCUACUCUUGAACUGCAUGUAUGAAAAUUUCGUGGACGAAAUUUUUUUUUUAGGGGGGAAGGAUGUGAGACCCUGGAACUGGGCCCGGUCCAUUUGACCGGCCCAGUCCCAGAGUCCAGUCUCACAUGCGGCGCACGUGAGGCAGCGGGAUGGAGAGAUCCAUCCCGAAGAAGAAGGAGGAGCCCCUGUUUUAGGGCUUCUCCUCUUUCUCCUCUUGUGAGGCCAACCGAGAAGAGCCGCCAGACGCCCCCCCCCCUCCUGGUUUGGGUUCUUCUUCCUUGGGCUACUGGCCGAGAGAGAGGGAGAGAGCCGCUGAAGCCCGCUCCUCUUCGAUUCGGGGGAUCUUCCUCUUUCUCCGUUGCCGUCAGAAAGGAGCCGCCGGAUCUUCGCCGGGGCUGAGGUAAGGGUUUCUACCCUUCAUUUCUUUCUAUACCAAUUGAAAACAAGAAAGAAAGAAAGAAAGAAAGAAAGAAAGAAGAGAGGGAAGAAGGAGAAGGCCGACCAUCGCGGGCUCUUCUUCUUCUCCCGUCCGCAUGCCUCCUCCACGGGAAGAAGGAGAGGGCCGGCCGUCGCGGGCGCCGCCGGCCUCGACUUGGCUUCUCCCGAGCUCGCGACCUCCCUUCGCGGGAGAANNNNNNNNNNNNNNNNNNNNAAGGAGAAGAAAAAAAAGAAAUAAAAAUAAAUAAAUAAAUAAAGGGAGAGGGUGGUUUACGGGUAUGAACCCGAAUACAAAUCCGAACCCAGGAUGUCGGAUACUUCCGCGUGUUCGGUCCUGGGAGGAUGUUAAGAUUUAAGUUUUAUAUAUAUAUUGUGAUGAAUUUUAAAAGAAAAAUAUGAUUUUUAGAUAUUAGGUUCUGCGAGGGAUUUGUGAG
rnacentral:lncRNA from 1 species